GAUGAACGCUAGCGGCAGGCCUAAUACAUGCAAGUCGAGGGGCAGCACGAAUAGCAAUAUUUGGUGGCGACCGGCAAACGGGUGCGGAACACGUACAGAACCUUCCUUCGAGCGGGGAAUAGCCCGAAGAAAUUCGGAUUAAUACCCCAUAGUAAAUUGAAAAGGCAUCUUUUUAAUUUUAAAGUAUUUAUCACUUGAAGAUGGCUGUGCGCCUGAUUAGGUAGUUGGCGGGGUAACGGCCCACCAAGCCUGCGAUCAGUAACUGGUGUGAGAGCACGACCAGUCACACGGGCACUGAGACACGGGCCCGACUCCUACGGGAGGCAGCAGUAAGGAAUAUUGGUCAAUGGACGCAAGUCUGAACCAGCCAUGCCGCGUGGAGGAUGAAGGUCCUCUGGAUUGUAAACUUC
rnacentral:rRNA from 1 species